CUUGGUCUCAUUAGAGGAAGUAAAAGUCGUAACAAGGUCUCCGUUGGUGAACCAGCGGAGGGAUCAUUACCGAGUUUACAACUCCCAAACCCAAUGUGAACGUUACCAAACUGUUGCCUCGGCGGGAUCUCUGCCCCGGGUGCGUCGCAGCCCCGGACCAAGGCGCCCGCCGGAGGACCAACCAAAACUCUUAUUGUAUACCCCCUCGCGGGUUUUUUACUAUCUGAGCCAUCUCGGCGCCCCUCGUGGGCGUUUCGAAAAUGAAUCAAAACUUUCAACAACGGAUCUCUUGGUUCUGGCAUCGAUGAAGAACGCAGCGAAAUGCGAUAAGUAAUGUGAAUUGCAGAAUUCAGUGAAUCAUCGAAUCUUUGAACGCACAUUGCGCCCGCCAGUAUUCUGGCGGGCAUGCCUGUCCGAGCGUCAUUUCAACCCUCGAACCCCUCCGGGGGGUCGGCGUUGGGGAUCGGCCCUUUACGGGGCCGGCCCCGAAAUACAGUGGCGGUCUCGCCGCAGCCUCUCCUGCGCAGUAGUUUGCACACUCGCAUCGGGAGCGCGGCGCGUCCACAGCCGUUAAACACCCCAAACUUCUGAAAUGUUGACCUCGGAUCAGGUAGGAAUACCCGCUGAACUUAAGCAUAUCAAUAAGCGGAGGA
rnacentral:rRNA from 1 species